rnacentral:rRNA from 1 species
UGGGGAAUUUUGGACAAUGGGGGAAACCCUGAUCCAGCCAUCCCGCGUGUGCGAUGAAGGCCUUCGGGUUGUAAAGCACUUUUGGCAGGAAAGAAACGUCAUGGGUUAAUACCCCGUGAAACUGACGGUACCUGCAGAAUAAGCACCGGCUAACUACGUGCCAGCAGCCGCGGUAAUACGUAGGGUGCAAGCGUUAAUCGGAAUUACUGGGCGUAAAGCGUGCGCAGGCGGUUCGGAAAGAAAGAUGUGAAAUCCCAGAGCUCAACUUUGGAACUGCAUUUUUAACUACCGGGCUAGAGUGUGUCAGAGGGAGGUGGAAUUCCGCGUGUAGCAGUGAAAUGCGUAGAUAUGCGGAGGAACACCGAUGGCGAAGGCAGCCUCCUGGGAUAACACUGAAGCUCAUGCACGAAAGCGUGGGGAGCAAACAGG